UACAGAGGUCUCAAGCGUUGUUCGGAUUCAUUGGGCGUAAAGGGUGCGUAGGUGGCGCCGUAAGUCAGGUGUGGAAAUUUCGGAGCUUAACUCCGAAACUGCAUUUGAUACUGCGGUGCUUGAGGACUGGAGAGGAGACUGGAAUUACGGUGUAGCGUGGAAAUGCGUAGAUAUCGUGAAGGAAGACCAGUGGCGAAGGCGGGUCUCUGGA
rnacentral:rRNA from 1 species